rfam:Triticum aestivum genome assembly, contig: Triticum_aestivum_CS42_TGACv1_scaffold_410066_5BL
CUAUUACUCCCUCCGUUCGGAAUUACUUGUCACAAGAAUGGAUGUAUCUACAACUAAAAUACAUCUAGAUACAUUCAUUUCUUUGACGAGUAAUUCCGAAAAGAGGGAGUACAAA